UUAAAUCCCUUAUCGAGGAUCCAUUGGAGGGCAAGUCUGGUGCCAGCAGCCGCGGUAAUUCCAGCUCCAAUAGCGUAUAUUAAAGUUGUUGCAGUUAAAACGCUCGUAGUCGGAUUUCGAAGCACGCUCACGGGGGCGGUUUUUGCUGUUUCUGUGAGGGUGUCUUCUUUUUCUGGGACGCGUUGUGCGGGACUUGAUUGUCUCUGCACAUCUGCGGGCCGGACGUUUACUGUGAARAAAUUAGGGUGUUCAAAGCAGGCGUUUGCUAUGAAUACGUGAGCAUGGAAUAAUAGAAUAGGACUUGACCUCUAUUUUGUUGGUUUCCGGAGAACAAGUAAUGAUUAAUAGGGACAGUUGGGGGCAUUCGUAUUUCAUUGUCAGAGGUGAAAUUCUUGGAUUGAUGGAAGACGAACAACUGCGAAAGCAUCUGCCAAGGAUGUUUUCAUUGAUCAAGAACGAAAGUUAGGGGAUCGAAGACGAUCAGAUACCGUCGUAUCUUAA
rnacentral:rRNA from 1 species